rnacentral:rRNA from 1 species
UACGGAGGGUGCAAACGUUGCUCGGAAUCAUUGGGCGUAAAGCGCACGUAGGCGGCCCAGCAAGUCGGGUGUGAAAGCCCUCGGCUUAGCCGAGGAAGUGCAUUCGAAACUACUGAGCUUGAAUACUGGAGAGGAUCGCGGAAUUCCCGGUGUAGAGGUGAAAUUCGUAGAUAUCGGGAGGAACACCAGUGGCGAAGGCGGCGAUCUGGACAGAUAUUGACGCUGAGGUGCGAAAGCGUGGGGAGCAAACAGG